rnacentral:lncRNA from 1 species
GAAAAUACCAAAUGAUGUUCCUGGAAAAGAUCUUGAUAUGGCUGAAAGUCUUAGAGGGACUCUUGGUAGAAAAAACCCACUCAUAUUGAUACCUGUAUUUCCUACUACUUAAUAAAGUAUUUUGUAAAUUAUUAUAGUAGAGUAAUUUUCAGACGAGUCAUUUUUUUGGUGAGUCCAAAAAACAGUCAAGAUAAAUGAACGUUUUUGGGCUCACGUCAGAUAGACUUUUCUGAACUUUCUUCUAUUACAGUAUUAUGUCUAUUUGAAAUAUUUUGAAAAUCUCUGUAUGAUGAGAAAUUUAACUCCAUUGCAGUUACCUCUGCUCGUCCUAAUUAUCAUUUCCGAAUAGUGUCUUAGGAAAAGAUUGUCUCGUCCGUACUCCAUUCGUGACCCGAUCCGUUCUCACUCUUAUUGAAAUUUUAAAAGGAUCGAGUCUCACAUGAGAUUCAGACUCUGCCCAGUUAAAUAUCGGGUAUCCAAUUAUCGGAUCCAUGGGCAAAAAAUAAAUAAAUAUGUUGUUCAUCGGAUUUUAAAUGAUAUUUUAGUUUCUAUGCUAUCAUGUAAUAAAAAAUAAAUCUGUAAAGGUUUAUAUGCACAAAAUGGCAGCCCACAGAGGCCCAUUAACAGACGCAACUUGGAAAGAAACCCUAGGUCCAUUGCUAUAUAUAUAUUUAGUUGUUUUCUUAUUUUUCUUCGGUGGUUCUUUCUCAGCGUUUCUCAAUUCUUCUCAUGUCUGUAUAUCUCGAUUCGUUUCUUUAUUAGUUAGAUCUAAUCUAUAGUUUUGUUGUUGUUUAUUCCUAUGAUUUGCAUCUGUUUUAUAUAUGAAUGUUCUCCUCAAAUCUGUUUCGUACAUUUUUAUUUGGGGUGGAUUUGAAUGAUGCAUAGAUCUACGGUUCGAUUUAUCAACACAUUGUGAUAUCUUAAUUUGCAAUGCUGUCAAACGCUCGAUCUAUAUUCUUUCUUUGUUUGAUGAUGAUUAUUUUUACGAUGCAAUAUUUUAGUUCUGAUUAUUCGAUUUUGAUCUUUUUUUUUUAAUGUUUUAGAUGAUUUAUCGUUUGCUUUCGAUUGUCUGAUAUCUUUCUGUUCUAUCAAUUGCUUCUAAACUUGAAUUUGCAAUGCCAACAAAUAUUGGAUCUUUAUUUCUUCUUGUAAUUCGAGUUCUGAUCAUUUAAUCCCUGCGAUUAAUUUCGUUUGUUCUUAUUUUUGUCAAUUUUUUAUUGAUUUAUUUUGAUAUUACGCAACCUCCAAAAUAGGAGCUUAAUUAGAUUUAAACUUAAAAUCAUCCAUUAACAUUUAAUUAAUUACUAGAUUUAGAUAUUAUAAUGACUGAGAAUUAAAUUUAUAAUCGCCCUACCCGUUCAUCUUUUUACCAAUAUACCCAAACACAUAGUUAAUACCACCUAAUCCAUCAUCAACCCAACUACCCUAAUUAACACCUUUAUAGCUGUUAAUCCUCAACUAAGUUACAUUUAUAAAUACACCCUCACAAUACAUGCAAUACAAGUAUAUAAGUUCUGUUCUACUUUAAUCUGGUUUGGAUUCAAAUCUCUGUCUCAAUCUCAAUCUGGUUUCCUGGUCUAUUGAAUCUGGAUCUUCGAAUCUAUCUAGGCAUCUCCGAUCUUCGUGAUGCCAAUCUGUUCCGGCACUUCUUCGAUCUUCAAUCAUCAAUCUGUUCAUCAUCAGUCAUCAUAUCUAAAUAUUACAAACAACAAUGAUUUAAUCAUAUAAAUUAUUAUAAAUAAAUCCAUACUGGAAUUCUAACAGUCUAUUAGUUAAAUUUAAAUUAAUUUAUCUAUUUUCUGGUCAAACAAUUAUGGUUUCGUUUUAUAAUUAAAUUUUAUUUUUUACCCAUAUGUUGUUGAGAUUCAAUCUUGGCUCAUUGCUUAAGGUCUUAUUUCUUGGUUUGUUUUAUAAAUAAAAGUUUUGGAUUCUUAUCAGAAUUUUAUACCAACCAUCGAUUUCGCUGUACAUUUGUCAAAUUAAGUUUUUUUUUUAAUUCGUUAUUCGUUUAUAAGGCUAAGAUUAAUUUUUUUUGACAAAACUGGUUUAUUGAUAAUUGACCACUGAAUUAUUGAAUCGACAUUCUUAAUUGGCUUAUUAAUAUGCGGUAGGUGGUGAAAACUACCCACCUAUAAACAUGAUAUUUUUUUGGAUAAUUGUUAAAUCUAACCACCUAAGGUUGGUUAGGAGUUAAAAUUACCCACCUAUAAAUUUUAUAUGACCAUUUUACCCUUACUUUUUUUUUAAAUUUUCUUUCACAUGCCAUUGUCGGGCAGAAAAAGAACCCACCCAUCGAUCUCCUCCCACCUCCUAUACUUCUAUUCUAACGUCGUCCUUCCUCCUCCAUUUCAUAGAGCCUCUGGAACCAACCAGAGUAGGAAACCAAAAAUCUAUCGCUGCUGCAUUCCAAGCAUGUGAUUCCCAACAAAUUGAUCCCAGCUAACUGCUUAUCCGGCUAAAAAACAAAAAUCCGAAUUAUAUUAACAGAAACCAAAAGAAGAAAGCUGAAUUAAAUCGUAGAGAUUGACAAUAAUACCAUGGUACUAGACACCAUACUGAGUACGUGGUCGAUCCAAGUGUCGAAUGCAUCCUUCCAAUUUUUAGCAAGCUUAGGAUUAUUCUUCGAGCUUACAGAUUCUCUGAGUAGACCAUGACUUUUGACGGUGGACACUGUGGAUAAGAGAUGGGAGAAGUUGACGAUGAUCUUGAUCGAAGAUAGCCGGCCGACGAUGAACACAUAGAGGAAUAGAGGAAGAAAUCGAGUAUGAGAGAUGUCGAGAAGCUGGAAUGUUGGUUGGAGAAAGGCUGGAAUCGAUAGAUGGAUUUGAGUUAGGUUUUUGAGAAUUUGGGAAUUAGAAAUAACAUUUAGAUAUUUAAGAUUUAUGGGAUUUAAAAAUAGAAAGUUCUUUAAAAAUAAAUGGUUUAACGGGUAAACGGGCAUGAGUAUAACCCACACAAUUUACUAAUAAGGGGCAAAUUAGGAAAUUUUAUACACUAACACACCCUAACCACCUAACACCUAAGAUUGGUGGGUAGUUUUGACCACCAAUCCAUUUUAGAUGGUUAGUUUUAACAUUUUCCCAAUUUUUUUUUGUAUUUUUUUCUUUUAAACUGUUCACUGAUGUCACAUGUCACAUGUGAAUGUGAUGUGUAGUAGGUAAUGAAAUUAGGAUUGAGAACGUGAUAGGUUUCGGUGGUCCUGCCUCGAUAUCUGUCCUCUUUUAUCAGAAUGGGACGCUUUUCUUCCCAACCCGAUGAAUGAUGCAGACGGGGCGUAUUUGGUUUGGUUUUUUUGAAAUUAUAAAAAAUAAUAAUUAAAAAAGUAAAUCUAAAAUAAACGUUUAAAAAUAUAAUAAUUUUAUAUCUAAAUUCUAAUAUGUUAUAAUUUAUUUAAAAAAAUAUAUUUUUUAAAUCGAGACAACUUGUUUGGGUUUCCAAGUUCCAACUGUUUGAAGACCCAACAGGUCGUAAAUAUGAUUGGGGUAAAAAGGGCACGACAUAACGGGUCGUCUGGUUCUCACUCAAAAAUUAAAUGAUGGUAGUAUGUAUGACUUUUAAAUAAUAGAAUAAUAGUUGCCAAAUUUGAAUAUAAUAGAUGCCAAAUUUGAAUCUUCUGAAUAUAAUACAUAAAUGUCAGAAUUUAACAAAUGUUAUUAUAGUUGAUUUAAUCUAUAUUUUUCUGCGGUCACAGGCUCAUGGCAUUUCCUAUUAUAAAUAGUUGAUGAGAUUAGAACGAUAUUAUUCAAUUCCAAUUCAAAUUCCACAAUUGCAAUGGAGUUCAAAUACCCAUCAUUUCUAUUAUUUUUCUCUUUGUUCUUACCUUUGAUGAUUUUGUUGAUUCUUAUCAAAAAGAAAAACAACAAAAGAUUGCCACCAGGACCGACAAAGCUUCCUAUCAUUGGGAAUCUCCAUAACUUAAUUUUUGCAGGUGACGAUCAUCUUCCUCGUGUGUUUGGAGAGCUCGCAAAGAAGCAUGGCACGUUUAUGCAUUUAAAAUUCGGUCAAAUCUCUCAAGUUGUCGUCUCUUCAUCCGAUCUUGCAAAAGAGUUUCUUAAAACCCAUGACAUCAACUUUGCAACUCGACCAGAUAAAUUCACGUCCAGACUUAUCUUUUACAAUAAUCGUGAUGUUGCGUUAGCGCCAUACGGCGAAUACUGGAGACAGAUGAAAAAAAUCGUUACUCUCGAGCUUCUCAGUGCGAAAAAGGUGAAGUUUUUUGACAGGUUAAGGAGAGACGAAGUGGGCAAAAUGAUCAACAUUCUCACCAAAGCUGCAACUAAUGGCACAUCGGUUAAUCUAAGUGAAAUGUUUCUUGUUUUUAACAACAACAUUUCCACUCGUUCUAUAUUUGGUGACAACAUUCGACAUCAGAAAGAAUUUCUGAAUGCUAUGAAGGUAGUAGUUGUUCUUGCAACUAGUUCCAAUUUUAGCAAUUUCUUUCCUCUUAUGGAAAAUUUCAUCGCCUGGUUGACUGGUAUGAAGCUUAAGACAGAAAAGACGCACAAGACAAUCGACAAUAUAUUAAAUACAAUCAUUGAUGAACAUCUUGGUAAAAAAAAUAACGACAAUUCGAUGGAAGAUGGCGAAGAAGAUUUCUUAGAUAUUCUUCUCAAACUUCAGAAGGAAAAUCAAUUUGGUUUUGAAUUUAGCAUAAAUGAUUUGAAAGCCGUAUUAUUGGUAAAAAACAAUUUUUUCCUUUUAAUAUCCAAAUUAAUUUUGGAAAUAUUAAUAAGAACUCUACUAAUGAUUAUUCAAUUGUUAUUUACAGGACUUAUUCCCCGGAGGAACGGAGACAACAUCCACAACGCUAGAGUGGGUAAUGUCUGAGUUGGUGAAAAAUCCUACCACUUUGAAGAAAGUGACAUCAGAGGUCAGACAAAAAAUUUCGAUAACUGAUGCAAAAACAGAUGAUUGCGAUAAUAAUUUUAGCAACGAGAUGGGUUACAUGCAAAAUGUUAUCAAAGAAACCUUUCGACUCCAUCCACCAGUACCGCUUCUUCUUCCUCAUGAAUCUAGAGAGAAAUGUCAAAUAAAAGGUUACGAUAUAGAAGAGAAGACAAGCGUCAUUGUAAAUGUUUGGGCAAUUGGAAGAGAUCCUAACAAAUGGAAAGAUUCAGAAAUAUUCAAACCAGAAAGGUUUAUUGGAAAUCCAAUCAAUUUCAAAGGAUCACAUUUUGAUUUAAUUCCAUUUGGUUCUGGGCGGAGAAUAUGUCCUGGUAUGACAUUUGGUCUGGCUAAUGUGGAACUUUCGCUUGCUACCCUUUUAUACAAUUUCGAUUGGAAAAUACCAAAUGAUGUUCCUGGAAAAGAUCUUGAUAUGGCUGAAAGUCUUAGAGGGACUCUUGGUAGAAAAAACCCACUCAUAUUGGUACCUGUAUUUCCUACUACUUAAUAAGUUAUUAUAGUAGAGUAAUUUUCAGGUGAGUCCAAAAAACAAUCAAGAUAAAUGAGCGUUUUUGGGCUCACGUUAGAUAGACUUUCUUGAACUUUCUUCUAUUAAAGUAUUAUAUCUAUUUGAAAUAUUUUGAAAAUCUCUUUAUGAGAAGUUUAACUCCAUUGCAGACUGCACGUCUUAAUUAUCAUUUCUGAAUAGUGUCUUAGAAAAAUAUUGUCUCUUCCGUACUCCAUUCGUAACCCGAUCCGUUCUCAUCCUUAUUGAAAUUUCAAAAGGAUCGAGUCUCACACGAGAUUCAGAUCCUGUCCAGUUAAAUAUCGGGUAUCCGGUUAUCGGAUCCAUGGGCAAAAUGGAUUUUAAAUGAUAAUCUAGUUUCUAUGCUAUUAUUUAAUAAAAAAGAAAUCUGUAAAGGUUUAUAUGCAAAAUGGCAGCCCACACAGGCCCAUUAAUACACGCAACUUGGAAGAAAACCCUUGGUCCGUUGCUAUAUAUGUAGUUAGUUGUUGCUUGCUUGUCCUUACUCUGGUUCUUUCUUCAGCGGCUCUUAUUUCUGUAUAUCUCAAUUCGUUUUUUUAUUAGUUAGAUCUAAUCUAUAGUUUUUGUUGUUGUUUAUUCCUGUGAUUUGCAUCCGUUCUAAAUACGAAUGUUCUCCUCAAAUCUGUUUCGUAUUUUUUUAUUUGGGGCGGAUUUGAAUGAUGCAUAGAUCUACGGUUUGAUUUAUCAACACAUUGUGAUAUCUUAAUUUGCAAUGCUGUCAAACGCUCAAUCUAUAUUCUUUCUUUGUUUGAUGAUGAUUAUUUUUACGAUGCAAUAUUUUAGUUCUGAUUAUUCGAUUUUGAUCUUUUUUUUUUAAUGUUUUAGAUGAUUUAUCGUUUGCUUUCGAUUGUCUGAUAUCUUUCUGUUCUAUCAAUUGCUUCUAAAUUUGAAUUUGCAAUACUAACAAAUACUGGAUCUUUAUUUCUUCUUGUAAUUCGAGCUUUGAUCAUUUAAUCCUUGCGAUUAAUUUCGUUUGUUCAUAUUUUUGAUUGAUUUUGAUAUUACACAACCUCCAAAAUAGGAGCUUAAUUAGAUUUAAACUUAAAAUGAUUCAUUAACAUUUAAAUAAUUACUAGAUUUAGAUAUUAUAAUUAGAGGUGAGCGACGACGGGAUCUUUAGAGUGUCAAACAACCCAAACUUUUGCUUAUAGAGGUAGUCUCGUGCUUGCUCGUUAAGAAAUUAUUCAGGCUCAAUCUUGGGCUUGCCGAGCUUGGUUUGGCUGAGCUCGGUCUCGGCUCGUUUUAAGAAUUGUUAGGCUCUGGUUCGAAUUAAAAAUAAUAAUUAUUUUUAGACAUUAAGGAUUGAACCUAUGACCUUUCAAAUACUGAACAAAAAUUUCACCAACCUACACCAUUAUUCUUUCUAACUAUUAUAUUUUUUUAAUUUUCCAUACUUCUUACCGUGGCUAUUGAGCUUAACGAUCCGAGCUUGACAUAUCCAAGCUUGAACUUGGCUCGUUAAGCUAAACAAGCUUGAAGAUUGGGCUCGUCUUGUUGGGUUUGCGAGCCUAAGCUUAAACGAGUCGGGCUUUUUUUGACACUUUAGCGAUCCUUGGUCAAAAAUCAGGGAGUCUCAAAGUCGUUCAUUGACCAUGGACGGGGAUCCUUGGUAGUAAUAUAUUUUUUUUUUAAACAAUAAUGUACUAAAUACUAAUGUUAUUACUUAAUACUUAUUAUUUACCAAAGUAAUUUAUUUAAAGUUAUGAAAUAAGAGUAUAAAAUAUUAUAAUUUAUAAUAAGAAUAUAAUAUUCCAAGUUUACAAUGUAGAAUAAAAAAGAUAUAAUAAAAUAUUGGAGAAAGAAGACAAAAAUGUAAUGGAAUCCUAGAGAAAAAAAAAUUGAAUGGAGAUAAAACUGUCAAAAAAAAAAAAAAAAAACAAAAAACAAAAAAAACAAAUGUAGUAUGAUAAAACUUCAUAUAGGCAAACAGCUUGCCUUACGGUUAAGAAGAAGUAGGAAUAAGAAAAAGAUGACGGUGAACUUGAUAAAAACUGUUCAGGAGACGUCGACGACAGCAAUGUGAUACCUUCCCAGAGUUUGGAAGGUUUCUGUCCACCGGAGAGGCUGAUCGGCGCUAGGGUUUUCCGUCCAAUCGCGUUUGGGGAAAACCGGAAUUAACUACCGGACGAAUUUUGUAAAAGAGAGAAAAAAGGGGGUGAAAAGGAAAAAUGUAAUUUUAGUUAAUCUUUUUUUAUAUUGAUUAACUCGUAAAAACAUUGAGUAAUCUUAAUUCUUAAUCACGUUUUAUUUAUACUAAUUACAAGACUGUUAACAGCUAAAACAAAUAACUAAUUUAACUCUAAUUUAUUUGGGCUGGAUCUUGAUUCGAGUCCGUUUGUGAUCCAAUCCGAUUAGCUGUAACAAUUCUGCACAAGUACACAAAAUUAUUAGUAAUGUCAAUCAGGUCUAUUUGACCAGAUUUAUUUUGUGUUAUUUGCAUAACAGUCCUCAAGUUAAUUAUAACUGAAUAAUUGAAACUUUUACGCUUCGAUCCUUGUAUUUCUGAAUCUUAGUUAUAUUACAAAAACCUUUAGUUUCUUUUAAUUACGCUUAGGUCCAACUAACGUUUAUUGAAACUUUUAUAAAUGAAACCUUGUUAUUUUAUAACAAAACAGUUAAUUCUGUUUUGUCAUAACCCUUAGGUUAUUUAUAUUACAUUUAAAUCCUAAGCUUGUUUCUAUGGUAAAUUGCUUAUUUACCCUGUAUUUCAGUUAUAUUCUUAUAGAACUACGGUAAGAAUAAAAACAACUAUUGCUAACUGCUAAGAACAAUGGUCCGGUGGCUACUUGGAGUUGAAGAUUAGGUACAAAAAUGCAGGUACCGGAUACGAAGAAUCUCGCCCCUAAAUAUAAUGACUGAGAAUUAAAUUUAUAAUCGGUCCAUUAGUUAAAUUUAAAUUAAUUUAUCUAUUUUCUGGUCAAACAAUUAUGGUUUCGUUUUAUAAUUAAAUUUUAUUUUUUACCCAUAUGUUGUUGAGAUUCAAUCUUGGCUCAUUGCUUAAGGUCUUAUUUCUUGGUUUGUUUUAUAAAUAAAAGUUUUGGAUUCUUAUCAGAAUUUUAUACCAACCAUCGAUUUCGCUGUACAUUUGUCAAAUUAAGUUUUUUUUUUAAUUCGUUAUUCGUUUAUAAGGCUAAGAUUAAUUUUUUUUGACAAAACUGGUUUAUUGAUAAUUGACCACUGAAUUAUUGAAUCGACAUUCUUAAUUGGCUUAUUAAUAUGCGGUAGGUGGUGAAAACUACGGUUGAUUUCAAUCACAUUAAUCUAAUCAGAUUAAAUUGACUCGAGUCUACUUAUUCUAGAUUCUCUUCGGUAGAAUAAACAUGAUAAACACUGAUGUCACAUGUGAAUGUGAUGUGAUGUCACUGAUGUCACAUUUAAAUCUUCUGAAUAUAAGACAUGUUUAUUUAAAUGUCAGAAUUUGACAAAUGUUAUUAUAGUUGAUUUAAUCAUGGCAUUUCCUAUUAUAAAUAGUUGAUGAGAUUAUAACCAUAUUAUUUAAUUCCAAUUCAAAUUCCACAAUUGCAAUGGAGUUCAAAUGCCCAUCAUUUCUAUUAUUUUUCUCUUUGUUUUUACCUUUGAUGAUUUUGAUGAUUUUGUUGAUUCUUAUCAAAAAGAAAAACAACAAAAGAUUGCCGCCAGGACCGACGAAGCUUCCUAUCAUUGGGAAUCUCCAUAACCUAAUUUUUGCAGGUGACGAUCAUCUUCCACGUAUGUUUGGGGAGCUCGCAAAGAAGCAUGGCACGUUUAUGCAUUUAAAAUUCGGUCAAAUCUCUCAAGUUGUCGUCUCUUCAUCCGAUCUUGCAAAAGAGUUUCUUAAGACUCAUGACAUCAACUUUUCUUCUCGACAAGAUAUAUUCACAUCUAGACUUCUCAUGUACAACAAUCGUGAUGUUGUAUUUGCACCUUAUGGUGAAUACUGGAGACAGAUGAGAAAAAUCGUCACUCUCGAACUUCUCAGUGCGAAAAAGGUGAAGUCUUUUAACAGGUUAAGGAGAGAGGAAAUGGUCAAAAUGAUGGAUAUUCUCACCAAAGCUGCAAGGAAUGGCACAUCGGUCAAUUUAAGUGAAAUGUUUCUUAUUCUCAACAACAACAUCUCCACUCGUUCUAUGUUUGGUGACAACCUUAGACAUCAGACGGUAUUUCUGGAUGCUAUGAAGGAAGUAGUUGUUCUUGCUACUAGUUCCAAUUUUAGCAAUUUCUUUCCUCUUUUGGAAAAUUUCUCUGGUUGGUUGACAGGUAUGAAACUUAAGGUAGAGAAGACGCACAAGAUAAUCGACAAAAUACUUAAUACAAUCAUUGAUGAACAUCUUGGUAAAAUAAAUAACGACAAUUCGAUGGAAGAUGGCGAAGAAGAUUUUUUAGAUAUUCUUCUCAAACUUCAGAAGGAAAAUCAAUUUGGUUUUGAAUUUAGUAUGAAUGAUUUGAAGGCGGUGUUUUUGGUAAAAAAAAAGAAUAUUUUUCUUUAUUAAUAUCCAAGAAAAUAUUAAUAAGAACUCUACUAACGAUUAUUCCAUUGCUAUUUUGCAGGACUUGUUUAUUGGAGGAACAGAGACAACAUCCACAACGCUAGAGUGGAUAAUCUCCGAGUUGGUUAAAAAUCCUACCACUUUGAAGAAAGUGACAUCAGAGGUCAGACAAAAAUUUUCGAUAACUGAUUCAAAAACAGAUGACUAUGAUAAUAAUUUUAGCAAAGAGAUGGGUUAUAUGCAAAAUGUUAUCAAAGAAAGCUUUCGACUCCAUCCACCAUCACCGCUUCUUAUUCCUCAUGAAUCUAGAGAGAAAUGUCAAAUAAAAGGUUACGAUAUAGAAGAGAAGACAAGCGUCAUAGUAAAUGUUUGGGCGAUAGGAAGAGAUCCUAACAAAUGGAAAGAUCCAGAAAUAUUCAAACCAGAGAGGUUUAUUGGAAAUCCAAUUGAUUUCAAAGGAUCACAUUUUGAUUUAAUUCCAUUUGGUUCUGGGCGGAGAAUAUGUCCUGGUAUGACAUUUGGUCUUGCUAAUGUGGAACUUUCGCUUGCUACCCUCUUAUACCAUUUCGAUUGGAAAAUACCAAAUGAUCUUCCUGGAAAAGAUCUUGAUAUGGCUGAAGGUUUUAGAGGGACUCUUGGUAGAAAAAAUCCACUCAUAUUGGUACCUGUAUUUCCUACUACUUAAUAUAGUAUUUUGUAAGUUCUUAUAGUAAGGCAAUUUUCAUGUUAGUCAAAAAUGUCCUGAUCAUUCUGAUCAUCCAUUGU